rnacentral:lncRNA from 1 species
UGGGGAUGUUGAUGGACCCUGGGUAGAGCCUGGGAUGUUCCAAGAUCUGCCCUGUACAUUGCUGAGCCUAUGGCAGGGGAAGUGCUGUGAUUGUCAUGAGACAGGCUAUAGCCUGUACAUCAGCAAGAGUGUGGGAUGGUUCCAGAAGGGAGAGCACAGUGGUGCUGGUUUGAGACACAGAAAGGUGCCAGCUCAGCAAGAACAAACAGGAAGAAAAAGGACUCGGGUGUGGAGGUGUGCCAGGUCUUGGCCCCACUAAGAAAAACCCCUUUUGCCUCAAGGUGCAGGUGAUGGUGAGACCACCACUGAUAUCCACAGCUCCACAGGUGAGGACAAGCAUGAGGGUGUGCCGGUUGCAUGGGCACGUCCUGCUCCCUGCCCCUCCCCAUCACACCCCUCUGCCCUCACACCCUCUGUCCCCCGGCUCAUCAUGCCUGGCUCCCGCACACCCUCCCCACAGCCAUGGUGCUUGCAGUGGUGCCUCUCAUCCUCCUGGCUGCAGGCAGCUGGUUUGCCAUCAGGAAAGGUGCCUGCAGAGGGAGAUGCCCAAGGUGAGCACCAAGGGCUCCUGGUUGUGGGGUUUGUGGGAGGGAGUGGGGGGCAUGGUGGGACCCUGGGGUGCUGCAUGUUCAGGGGAAUUCCCUGUGCAGAAGGCAGAAAGCAUGGGGCUUAUUGUGGGAUGCACUCCAUCUCAAUGCCAAAUGCAGGAAAGCAACACCAAAGGGCAUAAGCUUCAUGACCCCUCCUCAGCACAUGCACAUCCCCAAACCAUUCCAUUCCUCUCCAGGCAGCAACAAGUUGACAGCCCACAGACGGAAGACGCCAGCUAUGGUGACAUCCAGUGUGAGUACUACCUCCUCCCUCAGGGGAAGCCACAUACUCCUCUCCCCAUGAGAAUCCUGUGCGAGCCCCCAUGCAAUCCCACCCCUUCAUUUCCCACUGGGACAUACAAAAUCCCUGCCUGUUCAUCAAGGCCAGGUUUCUCUCCAGCACCUCAUGUCCCGCUUCUUCCUUGAAUGCUGAUCGUGGCUGCUGCCUGCACAAGGGACAUGGCAGCAUCCCA